UGUUGCUGUUUAAUAAGAUAAAAUUAAUCAGAAAAUGUUGGCAGUUGAUGUUCAGAUUCUCACUGCCAUCUUGAAAUAGUGUUUCAUCUUUAGAUUUGCUGUACCUUAUUCUACAUGUCAGUGCUAUUAUUUUGUAUGCAGAUAACAGAACCUUAAAAGCCAGUUGUGAAACUUUGGAGACUAGGGUUGCGAUUAACUUUGUUCUGUAUUGAAUAUGGAACUUGGUUAGUAAAAUAUAAUGCAGACACAUAACUUCCCAGGUUAGCAUCUCAAGGAACUGGAGUCUCCAGAAUUGUUGAUGUGUGUUUUGCAAGGUAUUGUGUCUGACAUGAGGUCCUAAGUCUGACAUUUAUGUUCUUUAAGAUGGUACAAUUUUUGAGGUGGAGGGUGGGCUCAUAAAUGUUGUGAUCUAUGUAUGGAAUCUGCUGGCUUUGAAAAGUUACAUGGUGUUUUUAAAAAAGAAAGUAUUAAAUACUGUAAAUAUUUUUAUAAUGUUGUUAUUAGAGAGGGAUAGCUAUAGUUGUAUUCCAAGAGUCUCUCUUAACAUACAUAUGACUUACAGAUGGUAAUAUGACUGCUGCAGUGUCACUUGUUAAAAGGAGUAAUAGUCGGGGAAUUCAGUAGUUCAGUACGGGGAAAAAGACCAAUGGAAGGUCACGUGUGCAGCCCCACAGGUUGAGAUGGUUCUGGCUUUUGUGGUGCUGACACAAGGUGCACCUUCUCAAGAACAUAGAUCGGCAGAAGCAAUGUAUUGUAAGAUCUCCAGUUACAGGUGAGUGACCUUUUUUUCAGAUUAGAGGGGUUUCUUUUUUCUCUUUAUAUUUUAAAUCGCAUAGGCUCUGAACCUCAGUGCUUCUAUUUCUGUUUCACAUUCCUGCACUAGGUGAAUAACGAGGAGAUUUGAUGAGUAAAAGGAAAAGCAUCUAUUAGUUAUUUUGAAGUUGAAAUGCUAAUAUUUUGGAUACUAAGUAUUGAAAACAAAGGUGUCAUAAUUUUAAUCAGCUUGCUGAUUGUCUUCACAUGUAAAUUCUACAUUUGAAAAUGCUGUAACUUUGAUAGUGGUUUUGAAUAUGUUUAGUGGAUGUUGAAUUACCUGUUUACCUGCCCACUGCCAUUGAUAUGCUUUAAGCAGAGAAUUCUGCUUACUGCUUCCAGUUUAGAUCAGGUGUUCCUGUCUUAUAGUGACUAUUUAACAACGUAGGAACAUUUUAGGUAUCACUAUAGGCAAUCAAAUGCAUUAAAAAUCACUGAUAUUUCUUGCAAGUUAAAUAUGAAUUGUCGGCUGUGACAAAUGUGUGCGUUUGUUUUACAGGAUGGAGAAGUAGAUGCCAAAAAACUGCAGAGAUACCUAAUGCAGUCUGGAAUCAGUGGAACCUGUUAUUGUAAGAGUGGCUUUGUUCAUGGUGAGUUUACCACCAGCAGUAUAAGCAUUAGAUAUCAGAGCUUCCAUUAAACAUUCCCAGUUUCUCAAAAGGAAAAUUAAGAUAAAGUUCUUGCAGCACACCAUGGCAUUCUGAGAGCUGAACUGCUGGAGGAAAAGAGGAUCACCAACCUGCCAAAGUUCAUGUUUGGAAGAACUGUGAAUGAAAGCUAUUGUAGAGUUUUUAGCCUUUCUGCUUGAUAAGGCAAGGCUCUCUGAAUGAAUACUUCAAAAUUUAAGUGCACGAUUCACAGCAAUAAGUAUUUUUUUUUUUUGCGUUUUACUGUAUUUAAAGCAUGACUUUUUUUGUCUGUACGUGCAUAAUUCCAGACAAGUAAAUUAUGUUAAACUCAAGAGCUUAAUGAAAAAGGAAAAGCUUAUGAUCAUAAGCUUUUAAAUUGUGUCUUAUAAAUGAGUAGCUUGCUUGCACAAAUGAAACAACUAAUAGCCUAAAUGCUCUAUAUGUUUUUUCAUUAGUAGUGGCAUACUGUCUUAGACAGCAUACUCGGAAAAAUUCUGCUGGUUUGGAGAAAAUAGGUAAGUGUAUUCCAUUAAAAAGACAAAAUGUUCUAGCUAAAACUUUCGUACAGCUCCAGCUUGUUGCAAUACAGUGGUUUUUUGUUUGUUUGUUUGAGGCAAGCUCAGAUAAUACUAUUUGAAUUUUAAUCCCAUCUAUGGCUUUUCCUCAAGGAGAUCUGUGGGUGUGGUCUUCUGUUUUGUUUUUUUUUGUGUGUGUGUGUGCGUUUUUGUGGGUUUUGGUCGUUUUAUUUAUUUUUAAGAGCUCUGCUUGUCUCAAAAGCUUUCAGUGGCUAUUUAUCUGGAUCAAUAAAAUCACUCUCUGAAUAGGUCUUGCAUGGUAAACCCAUUCCAUGAUUCACUUUAAAUUCUCUAAAAUAAAAUGGUUCAAGCAAUGGAAGUGUCUGGCUUAAAGUUAGAUAUUUAAACAGCACUUUUGAUCAAAAUAUUUUGUGAAAAUUCGGGCCUCAAUGGAUAGCAGUUGUCAGCUUUAUUACCCAGAUUUUGUAACUAGAUGUUAGAUUUUUGAAUUCCUCAGCUGGUGAAUUUAGAGGGUGUAGGUAUGGGUAUAACUUCCUGUUCUACUUGAAAGAUGGAGGUCAGUGUGAUACAUGGAGAUUGCUGUGUGCAUAGGAUCUUCUGAAAAUGCCUAAUUUUGUGAGUCUGUUCUGUGUGCUUCAAGCCAGUGAGUGGUGCCCUGUGUAAUCCUGUGCUUUUACAUUUAUUCCCUUGGUGUUAUGAGUGUACUAAAUAUAUUUUUUUUUCUUAGUGUUUUUGGCACAGAUACAUAUGUUUUGUAUUCUGUUAGUGGUGUUUACAUUAUAGUAACUGUUCAAGUCAGUCACAAAUGAAAUGUUCACAACCUGUUUCUUAUGACUGAAAUAAAUUCAUUAAGUUUAUUUGUGCAUAUUUAGAUUUGUUGCAAACACGUUUUCAUGGUAAUAUAAAAUACUGAAUAUACGCGCAGUGUACAAGUGCUUUUAUUUAUACAUUAAACAAUUUUCCAGGAGGUCUUUUCUGAAAGCAAAAUAGUAACAUAUUAACUGCACUGUACAAAAACCUGUUAUACAAACAGGAUUUGCUACAGCUCAUAGUGAAAUAUUUAUCUAGACUAAGUUUUCAAAAUUUUCUUUGUAUUUCCAACUUUACAAUAUCAUAAAGCUUCAGUAUAGAUAAUGUAAAUAAUGCAUAAGAGGGGCAACUGCUUCCUGUGGGAGGGUUUAAUUUGGUCCAUCUAAUUUCCAUUCCAAAGAGAAUAGCCAUAUUCUGCAUUCAUUAAGAAUCAAAGAACUUCCCAAGUGGGCAUUACCCACCCCCCACCCCCAAAUAGCUAGAUGAAGAAAAAUGUUUCUUCAUUAAUAAUGCAGUUCUAUCCACUAAUAUGUAAAGGUACAGUGAGAAAAGGUAAGCUUGCCAUAGUGAUGUCUUCAUGCAAUUACAAGCCCCAGGACAUGCUUUUUUUUGUAUCAUUGAUAAAACUCAGUGUGUCCUUGAUUUUUCAUAUGUGAUCUGUUCUGUGGAUCUUGUUUGGUUUUUCUCCCAAUAAGCUAUUUGCUGUUUAACUUCUAAUAUAGACUCUUUCAAGUCUAGAAAACAAACUAUGUAUAGAGUAGAUGUAGCAUAUGACACUGGGACAGCUGUAUGAUAAAGUACAUUUCUUUCCUAGUACACCUGAAGAAAAUUUUAGGUUCAGAGUGAUCAUGUUUAAAGGACCUUCUGCAUGCUCUUUUUAUUCCAAGUAAGUAAGAAGCUACUUAAAAAUUAAUUCUGUGUCUGGACAGCUGUUGGAAGAUAUGCCGAUGGCUGCAUACCAAGUCUGUCUCCAAUCUGAAUCAGUUUAACAAUUUACCAGUAUUUUAAUUAAAAAUUUGAUGUUAAAUUUGAAAGAGAGACUAGGUCCCUUGCUAUUUCUGCAUGGUUGGUAGAUACUACAGAUCAAGUGAGUUCAUCACUCUGUAUUUUAGAAGAGGUAAGAGUAAGCUAAUAGGAAGCAUUGAGGUUGCAUUUUCAUUUGUGUGCAAAAAAGGAGUGACACACACC